rnacentral:rRNA from 1 species
AGAGUUUGAUCCUGGCUCAGGACGAACAUUGGCGGCGCGCCUAAUGCAUGCAAGUCGAGCGAGCUCGUUUUCUUCGGAAAACAUAUAGCUAGCGGCGAACGGCUGAGUAACGCGUGAGUAACCUGCCUCAAAGAGGGGAAAAACCAUGAGAAAUCAUGGCUAAUUCCGCGUAAUGUCGAUUAAUUAAUUUAAUCGAAGAAAGAAUUUAUUCGCUUUGAGAUGGGCUUGCGUCCUAUCAGGUAGUUGGUGAGGUAAUGGCUCACCAAGCCUAAGACGGGUAGCUGGAGUGAGAGCUUGACCAGCCAGAGGGGGACUGAGACACGGCCCCCACUCCUACGGGAGGCAGCAGCAGGGAAUCUUGCACAAUGGGCGAAAGCCUGAUGCAGCGACGCCGCGUGAGGGAUGAAGGUUCUAGGAUCGUAAACCUCUUUUCUUAGGGAAUAGUUUGGAAGGUACCUAAGGAAUAAGUCACGGCUAACUACGUGCCAGCAGCCGCGGUAAUACGUAGGUGGCAAAUGUUGUCCGGAAUCAUUGGGCGUAAAGGGUCCGUAGGUGGCUUGAAAAGUCUUAUGUGAAAUCUCUUGGCUCAACCAAGAAACGCCAUAAGAAACUUUCUAGCUAGAGACCAUCAGAGGGAGGUAGAAUUCCAGGUGUAGUGGUGAAAUGCGUAGAUAUCUGGAGGAAUACCAAUGGCGAAAGCAGCCUCCUGGGGUGAAUCUGACAUUGAGGGACGAAAGCGUGGGUAGCAAACCGGAUUAGAUACCCGGGUAGUCCAUGCCGUAAACGAU